UGGAUCCAGACUUUGAUUCCUGGCUCAGGAUGAACGCUAGCUACAGGCUUAACACAUGCAAGUCGAGGGGAAACGACAUCGAAAGCUUGCUUUUGAUGGGCGUCGACCGGCGCACGGGUGAGUAACGCGUAUCCAACCUGCCCAUCACUUGGGGAUAACCUUGCGAAAGUAAGACUAAUACCCAAUGACGUCUCUAGAAGACAUCUGAAAGAGAUUAAAGAUUUAUCGGUGAUGGAUGGGGAUGCGUCUGAUUAGCUUGUUGGCGGGGUAACGGCCCACCAAGGCAACGAUCAGUAGGGGUUCUGAGAGGAAGGUCCCCCACAUUGGAACUGAGACACGGUCCAAACUCCUACGGGAGGCAGCAGUGAGGAAUAUUGGUCAAUGGGCGAGAGCCUGAACCAGCCAAGUAGCGUGCAGGAUGACGGCCCUAUGGGUUGUAAACUGCUUUUAUAAGGGAAUAAAGUGAGUCUCGUGAGACUUUUUGCAUGUACCUAUGAAUAAGGACCGGCUAAUUCCGUGCCAGCAGCCGCGGUAAUACGGAAGGUCCGGGCGUUAUCCGGAUUUAUUGGGUUUAAAGGGAGCGUAGGCCGGAGAUUAAGCGUGUUGUGAAAUGUAGACGCUCAACGUCUGCACUGCAGCGCGAACUGGUUUCCUUGAGUACGCACAAAGUGGGCGGAAUUCGUGGUGUAGCGGUGAAAUGCUUAGAUAUCACGAAGGACUCCGAUUGCGAAGGCAGCUCACUGGAGCGCAACUGACGCUGAAGCUCGAAAGUGCGGGUAUCGAACAGGAUUAGAUACCCUGGUAGUCCGCACGGUAAACGAUGGAUGCCCGCUGUUGGUCUAAAUAGGUCAGCGGCCAAGCGAAAGCAUUAAGCAUCCCACCUGGGGAGUACGCCGGCAACGGUGCAACUCAAAGGAAUUGACGGA
rnacentral:rRNA from 1 species